rnacentral:tRNA from 1 species
GAGGGUAUAGCUCAAGUGGUAGAGUACAUGAUUAGCAUGCACAAGGUCCUGGGUUCAAUCCCCAGUACCUCCU